UACGUAGGGGGCAAGCGUUGUCCGGAUUUAUUGGGCGUAAAGCGCUCGCAGGUGGUUCAUUGCGUCGUGCGUGAAAGACCCCGGCUCAACUGGGGAGGGUCGUGCGAAACGGGUGAACUAGAGGCCAGUAGGGGGAUGCGGAAUUCCGGGUGUAGUGGUGGAAUGCGUAGAGAUCCGGAGGAACACCAGCGGCGAAGGCGGCAUCCUGGACGUGGUCCUGACACUCAGGAGCGAAAGCGUGGGGAGCGAGUCCGG
rnacentral:rRNA from 1 species